rnacentral:rRNA from 1 species
GAUGAACGCUAGCGGCAGGCCUAACACAUGCAAGUCGAGGGGCAGCACAGAAACAGCAAUGUUUUGGUGGCGACCGGCGGACGGGUGCGUAACGCGUAUGCAACCUACCUUUAACAGGGGGAUAACGGAGAGAAAUUUCCACUAAUACCCCAUAACAUCGAUCAAGGCAUCUUGAUUGGUUGAAAACUCCGGUGGUUAAAGAUGGGCAUGCGUUGUAUUAGGUAGUUGGUGAGGUAAUGGCUCACCAAGCCUACGAUACAUAGGGGGACUGAGAGGUUAGCCCCCCACACUGGUACUGAGACACGGACCAGACUCCUACGGGAGGCAGCAGUGAGGAAUAUUGGUCAAUGGGGGCAACCCUGAACCAGCCAUGCCGCGUGCAGGAAGACGGCUCUAUGAGUUGUAAACUGCUUUUGUACAGGGAUAAAUCGGGGAACGUGUUCCCCGUUAAAGGUACUGUACGAAUAAGGAUCGGCUAACUCCGUGCCAGCCGCCGCCGUAA